UAUGGGUUUAAAUCUGAGGCUGAUGACCCUUCUAUUAUUCACUAGCCGUCAUUCACGGGUUCGAGCUUCCACAAUAUCUGCCAUUGCUCAUUUUCACGGAGGGUCUUGCCCCUUUGAAACCAAAGAGAUAUUAUCAGAUGUUUGCUGCUACUCAAGAUGGGUUGGGCAGAAAUGCUCCUGUACAUAGCAUACAUGGUUCUUUACUUGCAGUUGGGGAGCUCUUGAGGAAUACUGGUGAGCUCAGAUGUCAUGGUAUAGAGAAGUUGCUGAAAUUGUAC